rnacentral:misc_RNA from 1 species
CCUGCUUCUUGUUGUCCUGGGAAUUACUGCUAUCACAAUCUUUCUCGGAAAUUUUCUUAUCCACAAAUGCAGGGCAAUCUCUCCCCUUUUCCUCUCUACCUUCAAAAGCAGGAUCCAAAUUUUCUUUAUCUUCAUAGGUAGAUCCAUGGUUCCUUUUCUGAUUAGAUGGAGAUAGCCGAGAUGCUCUGUGUGUCUCAUUCUCAUCAAACAUAACGUCCAACCUUGAAAACUCCUUGGUCAAACUAGAUGUCAUGUCAAUCUCAAGUUUUUUGUCAACUCUUCUAUCAGACAAAGGUGAUAACAAAUCACGAUUUCGUUUCUUCAAAAUGGAUGGUGUACCGGAAAAAGUCCUAGCGGCACUCUUCAGCACGGCAU